rnacentral:tRNA from 1 species
UGCCCCAUGGCUGAGUUGGUUACAGCGUCCGACUGUUAUUGCGACGGAAUCGGAAGGUCGUGAGUUCGAGCCUCACUGGGGCAG